rnacentral:lncRNA from 1 species
UUUUCAAAAAAUUAGUUACGUAAUUUAACUUGCCAGAUAUACCAGAGCACAACUGAAAAAAUUUAUAUUUUGAGGCCUAUAAAAAGUAUGCAAAUGAUACUGCCUUUUUUUUUUUUCUUUUGGCUGCACCCACAGCAUGCAGAAGUUCUGGGGCCAGGGACUGAACCCAUACCACAGUGGUGACUACAGACACAGCAGUGACAAUGCUGGAUCCUUAACCUGCUGAGCUACUCGGGAACUCUGAUAUUGCCUUUUAGAAGCAUAAUUUCUCCCUCAAGUGGCUUUGCAUGAAUUAAAGGAUCUACAAGGACUAGACAGAGCAAAGAAGAUGAGGAUACAAGUUUAGAAGAGACAAGAUAUUUGAACCCAGAGAGGCCAAGUCCACUACUAGAAAGUCAUAUAAAAUAAAGUAGCAUGAUGAAGCCUUUACCAGAAUAAUACGUGUAAAUGGAUGGCUGAUGAGGUGAAGAUGUCUUCAGGGCCUCCAAGGGCUUCCCAAAUUUUACGGGGAGCUGCCUUUCGAAUUGUGCUUGCAGGAUGAAGAGCCAAUGAGCCAUGAAAAGAAUUUAAAAAAAGGAUAAUGGUGUUCCUGUUGUGGCACAGAGGAAAUGAAUCUGACUAGUAUCCAUGAGGAUGUGGGUUCGAUCCCUGGCCUCACUCAGUGGGUUAAGGAUCCUGCAUUGCUGUGAGCUGUGGUGUAGGUCAUAGAUGUGGCUGGGAUCCUGCAUUGCUGUGGCUGUGGCGUAGGCCAGUGGCUACAGAUCCCAUUUGAGCCCUAGCCUGGGAAUUUCCAUAUGCCGUGGGUGUGGCCCUAGAAAGCAAAAAUAAAUAAAUAAAUAAAUAAAUAAGAACAUGGGCUAGAAUCUGCUAGGCUUUGUCAGGGCAAGUCCAACGUGUCAUGUGCUCUGUUGAAAAAAGACAAAUCCAGCUGUUUAUUGAGUGGUUCUGUGGCCUCGGCCGGGUCUCUCCCUUCAGAACAGUAGUGCUGCCCUAAUUCAUCAGGCCACCUAUUCCCCAUGUCUGACUUCUAAGUGAACCAUCCAGGCGGGAAGGGCUAAAGGGAUUUUCACAUUCCGAUACUUAGACUACUCGGAUCAAAGUCACUGGGUUGUUACAAAUGCAGAUUCCUGGGCCCUGCUCCAAACCUCCUGAAUCGAUCUGAGGUGAACCCAGGAGUCUGCAUUCUAAUAAGUCCCUCAAGUGAAUGGGAUCAUGGGCUGAAUUUUGAGACUCAGUGGAUAUGACAGAGUUUAUUUCUAUAGAAAAGUUUUCAUUGGACACUGCUCUGAAUUUCAUGGUUUGGAACACGAACUCAGCUCGAUCACUCAGCUCGAUCAACUAUUCUUUUGAAAUAAAAAAACAUUUCUUUUGUUUUAGAAAAAGCAGUUUCAUAAGCUCAAAGGGCACUUCUUAAAUCUAUUUUUAUGUAUGCAUAUUUACUCUCCAUUGAUUCAUUUUGUAAGCCAUCCCCGCCCCCGCCACUCACACACACACACACACACACACACACACACACACACAGAGUCUGUUAUGACAGAUUAAUCUGGUUGGAUGUCCCUCAAAAUUGAAGGGGCCAAUUAAUAAAGCACAUUGUCUAUGGUUAUUUAAGAAUGCAUUCAUAAAAGUGUAUCACUGUGUGUGUAUCCAAGUAUGCUGGAGAGAACAUACUAAAGAUAUGAAAUAAAUACGAGAGGACAAAACGUUCACCAACCUUGCAUCAUUUCUGUUAGCCUCUGAUGAUGAACCUGGGAAAGAAUACUUAAAGUUUUUGACUUCUUGACUUUAAAAGAUAAGGAGCUUAUGGGAAAAUUUCCCAUCACUGUGUUAGGUUGAAUUUGUAAGUAUGUCACCGGGAAUUUAGACAUUUUCCCCUCCGAAGCAAAGCUCUUCUCCCAUCCCUGCUGGAGUCUGCUGUAAUUACACUAAAAUCCAUAAGUCCUGGCUGGCAAACCUACCAAGGCCUAAACUGCCCACUGUCCACAUCCAUGGCUAUAGAGCAGAGGGGAAAGUACCUCCCUCGGCUCACUCACCUGUCAGUUGUUCAUAGUCUAUCCAAUCAAAAACACUCCAUUUUCUGCCUGACAAUGGCUUCCCCACUGGGAACCUGUCUGGAGAACUUCUCUUCAUCCUUCAAAACCCAAUUCAAAUAUCUUCUCAUCAGUCAAGUCUUCUCACCUGCUGAUUCUGGCACCUCCUUUGCAUUCCUAGAACAUCUGAUUAAGGCCUGCAACCUUGGGAGUAACUGUGGGGUAAGGAUCAGGGGCUGACACAUAAGGACAAGCUCAGGCUCCGGCACAAAUAUUUUUUAUUGACUCAGUUAACUGUUUAACUAAAUACACUUUGGGAUACUUAAGUAUUUUAGACUUCUCAAGGAGCAUCUCCAAAGCUAAUUCUCAAGGCUGUCGAUACCAGUAAGAGACUCCUCACAUCUUUCUGGUAAGGCUUGCUCAUGGAUGAGCAUUGCCUUCCCAGGAAAAUGAUUCUGCAUUAAAAUCAUGAUCCUGAAUUGAAUCUACGCUGCAAAAGAAAAGGUCGCUGUAGCUUCCGCCCCUCUCCCACAGAUGCCACUGAGUGCUUCCACAUGCCAGCACCUCCUGAUGUCGUCCUCAUUAACGCUCCCCACCACUUGUGCCCCUGAUGAUGUUGGUUCUCUCAUCAUCCAGACUCACCAAUGAAGAAACGGGGUCUAGAAGAAUGAGGUCACUUACCCAUAGUCACAGGACUGGGUAAGUGCAUAGGCAGAUUCACGCUUGCAUUGCCUGGUCCAAAGCCGAUCCUGCCCUGCCGUCAUGUGACUGUCUCAGGUGGACGUCUUUUUCUCAAGACCUUGAAACAUGUAUCCUAUUUUCCCCCUUUUCUUCCCCGUUCUCAGCCGUGUCAACUUAUCUCCCAGAAGUUGACUGUUCCUAUAGGAGGUGCUACCCUUCAAUCUUUGCUGCAGUCUUCUGCAACUCUAUUCCCCUUCCAUGCCUUGCACAUUUAUGUGUACAUACACAUGUGUGCACGUGCACAUGUGCACACACACACACACAAGCACACAUGCAUAAAGACACAUGUCAAAGGUAUGUGGAUACAAAAAAAUCAUUUUUCCUGUGACCUAAUCUAGCAUUACUUGAUUAAGCUAUACCUAUGAAACUUUUUUUUUUAAAGUCUUUAUCUGCCUUAAAGGUUUAUAUAUUUAGAUCCUCCAAACUGAACACUGAAGAAUUUACUUAAACUGUGUAUUUAUAACCCUUUUUGCAGCACCACUUUAAAAGUGGCUUCUUGGUUGAGCUUAUGCUGUGCUAAGUGAAAAUAUUGCUAGUUUAAAAAGAAUCCAAUCUUAUAUAGCAAUGAAUCUCUAGCUUCAACACACACAGACACAAUCCCUGAGGAUACUGGUGAAAACACAAAUUAUUGGGUCUUAUCCACAAAAGAAUUUGAUUUAGAAAGUCUUGGAUGGGGACCAACAAUCUGUACUUUAAACAAGCUCACUAGGCCAAUCUGACACAAAUAUUUUGUGACCCACUCCUUGAAAGAUCAAGAGAACCCUCACGUAUUUCACAUAUUUAGGUCAAUGCCCUAAAUGUUCUAGAAUCUUCUUAGCCAACUUGCAGGACUACACUGUUCUCAUAGGUACAACAAAGAUAACACUAACAAAAAUGGCUGUUCAGUCAUCUAACCAAUAUUUCUGGAAAGGCUACAUUAAUCUAGGGAAGGCCAAUAUUAAACAGAUGGGAUAUGGGCCCCAUCUAUCAUCCCCCCUACAUCCAGUGCCCAUGACAGACAUCAUUUAUCAAUAUGGUACUCUGUCAGCUGAGCCUGGACCCAUGACUGUGAAACCAUCCCUAGCUAACUGUGCAACAAUAUAGCUAGGACAUGGUCCUUGACCACAGGGCAUCGGAAGAGAAAGCAAAAGGGUUAAAUCAUGAUUGAGAAACACUAGGCACAUUUAGAGCUCCUCCCUUCUCCCUCCUGGACUAGUGCCCUGUACCAUCUCUCCCAGCUUAGUGGCAGGCUCACUGCCAUCCCAGGAAAGCAACCAGGCUACUGGAGGCAGAUAGAGGCAAAGCUCCAUGGACAGGUUGAGGAAGAUAGCCUGCUCAAGGAAGCUUCCAUGCACUGAGUAAGGGGUCCUUUCUCUCCUGUCUCUCCCCUCCACCCUCAUGCUUAUGGACCCCUCUCUAAAUGAAAAGUCAAUUAGGGCUUCCUGCCCCCUGCAUAAAAAAGCAUUCUACUUAGGGUUCUAAUGAUGAUGGAACCUUUUUAACCAUUGCUGUAAGAACCUUCUCUUUCAACUCAUAGUGGAGACUCUGAGAAGUCAAAUGACUCACUCAAGUUUACUUAAAGCCAGAAGUAGAACUCAGGUCUCUGGACUCCUGGUUUCUUGCUAUUCAUAGAUUUUAGAACCUUGAUGCAAUUAGCUUAUAAAAAUAACACCACCACAUACUUUUCCAGUCAUUCUGAUAUCGUAUCUUGGUCAUAUUUACAUAUCACAGCUUCCAUUGUGAAGAACCUUUCAUUAGGUCAGGCUCAACCAGAAAUGAGUUAAUAAGUUUUGCAGACAGCAGUUCUACAUUAUUAUCAACUUUAAUCAUCUUUUAAUCUAUUUCUGCAGAGGUGGAAAACCACCUUGUAAUAGUAAACCCAUGAGGCAUAGGUAUUUUUUAUCUCAACCGUGGAGUGGCCCAGAAAGGUUAAACAAAUAAGAGCAGUGAAGUCAGACACACCUGACCUUGAAUCUCAGUUCCACCGCCUCCCAAAGGUGGAACCUUAUGCAAAUGACUUCACUUCUCAGAGAAUCU